CGGGUGAAAAGCCCGCUCGCCGGAAGACCAAGGGUUCCUGUCCAACGUUAAUCGGGGCAGGGUGAGUCGACCCCUAAGGCGAGGCCGAAAGGCGUAGUCGAUGGGAAACAGGUUAAUAUUCCUGUACUUGGUGUUACUGCGAAGGGGGGACGGAGAAGGCUAUGUUGGCCGGGCGACGGUUGUCCCGGUUUAAGCGUGUAGGCUGGUUUUCCAGGCAAAUCCGGAAAAUCAAGGCUGAGGCGUGAUGACGAGGCACUACGGUGCUGAAGCAACAAAUGCCCUGCUUCCAGGAAAAGCCUCUAAGCAUCAGGUAACAUCAAAUCGUACCCCAAACCGACACAGGUGGUCAGGUAGAGAAUACCAAGGCGCUUGAGAGAACUCGGGUGAAGGAACUAGGCAAAAUGGUGCCGUAACUUCGGGAGAAGGCACGCUGAUAUGUAGGUGAAGUCCCUUGCGG
rnacentral:rRNA from 1 species